GGAUCAAUGAUGAAAACAACUUUCUGAAAAUGGUGAAUAACAUACAAAUGGCAAUCAGAGGAUC